UGGGAGAGAUCAUAUUUAAAGAUUUUAAAAGUUAUAUUACUUUUUAAUACUUUUUAAUUUUUUUUAAUUGUUUUUAUCUAGAUGUGCAAUGUGGUGACUUUUUAUUGGUUGGAGGAGAUAGUCGGGUUUUUUUAACGGCAUUAAUGCUAAACAAAAGUCAAUGGGGGCAAUUUACCAAAAAAAGCCUAUUUUUUUUAAAUUUACCGAAAUAGGCCCAAUAUUUUAUUAUUUACCGGAAUGGGCCCUUUUCCCCGAAAUCGUGUCCACGUCAGCGCGAUGUCAGGGGACGUUCCAGGAAAUCGCGGCCACGUCAGUGCGCUUUGCUGACGUG
rnacentral:lncRNA from 1 species